rnacentral:rRNA from 1 species
CACCUACGGGAGGCAGCAGUGGGGAAUAUUGGACAAUGGGCGCAAGCCUGAUCCAGCAAUGCCGCGUGAGUGAUGAAGGCCUUAGGGUUGUAAAGCUCUUUCACCCACGACGAUGAUGACGGUAGUGGGAGAAGAAGCCCCGGCUAACUUCGUGCCAGCAGCCGCGGUAAUACGAAGGGGGCUAGCGUUGUUCGGAAUGACUGGGCGUAAAGGGCGCGUAGGCGGUUGACCAAGUUGGGGGUGAAAGCCCGGGGCUUAACCUCGGAAUUGCCUCCAAAACUGGUCGGCUUGAGUGUGGAAGAGGGUUGUGGAGUUCCCAGUGUAGAGGUGAAAUUCGUAGAUAUUGGGAAGAACACCAGUGGCGAAGGCGACAACCUGGUCCAUUACUGACGCUGAGGCGCGACAGCGUGGGGAGCAAACAGGAUUAGAUACCCUGGUAGUCCACGCCGUAAACGAUGAGUGCUGGAUGUUGGACGGUUGCCGUUCAGUGUCGAAGUUAACGCGAUAAGCA